rnacentral:rRNA from 1 species
CCUACGGGGGGCUGCAGUGGGGAAUAUUGGACAAUGGGGGGAACCCUGAUCCAGCCAUGCCGCGUGUGUGAAGAAGGCCCUCGGGUUGUAAAGCACUUUCAGUGAGGAAGAACGCCUGGUGGUUAAUACCCAUCAGGAAAGACAUCACUCACAGAAGAAGCACCGGCUAACUCCGUGCCAGCAGCCGCGGUAAUACGGAGGGUGCGAGCGUUAAUCGGAAUUACUGGGCGUAAAGCGCGCGUAGGUGGCUUGAUAAGCCGGUUGUGAAAGCCCCGGGAUCAACCUGGGAACGGCAUCCGGAACUGUCAAGCUAGAGUGCAGGAGAGGAAGGUAGAAUUCCCGGUGUAGCGGUGAAAUGCGUAGAGAUCGGGAGGAAUACCAGUGGCGAAGGCGGCCUUCUGGACUGACACUGACACUGAGGUGCGAAAGCGUGGGUAGCAAACAGGAUUAGAUACCCUUGUAGUC